AUAACAUUUGGACUGUCGGUGUACCGAGCAAUAUCAUCCGCUUGGCGAAAGAUCUUCCCUUUAUCGU
rnacentral:pre_miRNA from 1 species